UUACGGCCACAUCACGUUGAAAUACCAGUUACCGUACGAUCACCGAAGUUAAGCAACGUUGAACCUGGUCAGUACUUAAGUGGGUGACUGCUUGGGAAUACCAGGUGCU